rnacentral:rRNA from 1 species
GGUGAACGCUGGCGGCGUGCCUAAUACAUGCAAGUCGAGCGAACGGACGAGAAGCUUGCUUCUCUGAUGUUAGCGGCGGACGGGUGAGUAACACGUGGAUAACCUACCUAUAAGACUGGGAUAACUUCGGGAAACCGGAGCUAAUACCGGAUAAUAUUUUGAACCGCAUGGUUCAAAAGUGAAAGACGGUCUUGCUGUCACUUAUAGAUGGAUCCGCGCUGCAUUAGCUAGUUGGUAAGGUAACGGCUUACCAAGGCAACGAUGCAUAGCCGACCUGAGAGGGUGAUCGGCCACACUGGAACUGAGACACGGUCCAGACUCCUACGGGAGGCAGCAGUAGGGAAUCUUCCGCAAUGGGCGAAAGCCUGACGGAGCAACGCCGCGUGAGUGAUGAAGGUCUUCGGAUCGUAAAACUCUGUUAUUAGGGAAGAACAUAUGUGUAAGUAACUGUGCACAUCUUGACGGUACCUAAUCAGAAAGCCACGGCUAACUACAUG